rnacentral:rRNA from 1 species
ACGGGUGAGUAAUGUCUGGGAAACUGCCUGAUGGAGGGGGAUAACUACUGGAAGCGGUAGCUAAUACCGCAUAACGUCGCAAGACCAAAGAGGGGGACCUUCGGGCCUCUUGCCAUCGGAUGUGCCCAGAUGGGAUUAGCUUGUUGGUGGGGUAACGGCUCACCAAGGCGACGAUCCCUAGCUGGUCUGAGAGGAUGACCAGCCACACUGGAACUGAGACACGGUCCAGACUCCUACGGGAGGCAGCAGUGGGGAAUAUUGCACAAUGGGCGCAAGCCUGAUGCAGCCAUGCCGCGUGUAUGAAGAAGGCCUUCGGGUUGUAAAGUACUUUCAGCGGGGAGGAAGGGAGUAAAGUUAAUACCUUUGCUCAUUGACGUUACCCGCAGAAGAAGCACCGGCUAACUCCGUGCCAGCAGCCGCGGUAAUACGGAGGGUGCAAGCGUUAAUCGGAAUUACCGGGCGUAAAGCGCACGCAGGCGGUUUGUUAAGUCAGAUGUGAAAUCCCCGGGCUCAACCUGGGAACUGCAUCUGAUACUGGCAAGCUUGAGUCUCGUAGAGGGGGGUAGAAUUCCAGGUGUAGCAGUGAAAUGCGUAGAGAUCUGGAGGAAUACCGGUGGCGAAGGCGGCCCCCUGGACGAAGACUGACGCUCAGGUG